rnacentral:rRNA from 1 species
AAAUUGAAGAGUUUGAUCAUGGCUCAGAUUGAACGCUGGCGGCAGGCCUAACACAUGCAAGUCGAACGGUAGCAGGAAGAAGCUUGCUUCUUCGCUGACGAGUGGCGGACGGGUGAGUAAUGUCUGGGAAACUGCCUGAUGGAGGGGGAUAACUACUGGAAACGGUAGCUAAUACCGCAUAACGUCGCAAGACCAAAGAGGGGGACCUUCGGGCCUCUUGCCAUCGGAUGUGCCCAGAUGGGAUUAGCUUGUUGGUGGGGUAACGGCUCACC